GUGGAUCUUUAAAACACAGCACAUUUACUAACAUUGGAAUGAUACAGAGAAGAUUAGCAUGGCCCCUGUGUGGGAAUUAGGUCUUCAGAAGUGAUUUUAAAUGUG